UUUUCUGGGAUUGAAAGGCGGCAACUUUUCAAAAAGGUUAAGUGCCCAACAAUACAAGAGGAAACCUUUAAAUGCCUGGCUUUUUUUCCCCCAUCCAUGAAAAUACAGAAGCAGAGGUGUGAGUGGGUGCCACAUGGUGCCCAUCUGCCUUUUGCAGUAUUGUUGUGGUUUCUUUGGCUAUGACCGCUGGCAGCAUCUGAACUACCAUUUUUUGAGGACUAUGCUAGAGCAUAACCAGAAGAAGACAUCUCACAUCUGAC
rnacentral:lncRNA from 1 species